UACGUAGGGGGCUAGCGUUGUCCGGAUUUAUUGGGCGUAAAGAGCGUGUAGGCGGCCAGGUAGGUCUGCUGUGAAAACUCGAGGCUUAACCUCGAGAUGUCGGCGGAAACCAUCUGGCUAGAGUCCGGAAGAGGAGAGUGGAAUUCCUGGUGUAGCGGUGAAAUGCGCAGAUAUCAGGAAGAACACCCGUGGCGAAGGCGGCUCUCUGGGACGUGACUGACGCUGAGACGCGAAAGCGUGGGGAGCGAACAGG
rnacentral:rRNA from 1 species